rnacentral:rRNA from 1 species
CGAGUGGCGGACGGGUGAGUAAUGUCUGGGAAACUGCCUGAUGGAGGGGGAUAACUACUGGAAACGGUAGCUAAUACCGCAUAACGUCGCAAGACCAAAGAGGGGGACCUUCGGGCCUCUUGCCAUCGGAUGUGCCCAGAUGGGAUUAGCUAGUAGGUGGGGUAACGGCUCACCAAGGCGACGAUCCCUAGCUGGUCUGAGAGGAUGACCAGCCACACUGGAACUGAGACACGGUCCAGACUCCUACGGGAGGCAGCAGUGGGGAAUAUUGCACAAUGGGCGCAAGCCUGAUGCAGCCAUGCCGCGUGUAUGAAGAAGGCCUUCGGGUUGUAAAGUACUUUCAGCGGGGAGGAAGGGAGUAAAGUUAAUACCUUUGCUCAUUGACGUUACCCGCAGAAGAAGCACCGGCUAACUCCGUGCCAGCAGCCGCGGUAAUACGGAGGGUGCAAGCGUUAAUCGGAAUUACUGGGCGUAAAGCGCACGCAGGCGGUUUGUUAAGUCAGAUGUGAAAUCCCCGGGCUCAACCUGGGAACUGCAUCUGAUACUGGCAAGCUUGAGUCUCGUAGAGGGGG